rnacentral:misc_RNA from 1 species
GUGAAUUUUAGGGUGCUCUCCUUCGCGGAGAGGCCUGACCUCCACUCUCCAACACUGUGCACUAUUUGGCUUGCGAGAAGAAGCGCUUCGGCGUGGUAAUCGAGCAAGCGGCUUCAUUUUAAACACUAGUUAAAGAAUGUAACCAAAAACAAAACUAAA